rnacentral:lncRNA from 1 species
CUCCUUUCUCCUUCAAGGCUCAGCUCAACCACUGCCUCCUCCCAACUAGUAAGGAUAUCUCUUUAUGCAACUUGUACAUGUUUCUACCGUUACACUUGUCACCCAGUUUCACCACUCUUUAAUUACCAGGAAGUUUUUGAAGUCAGAGACCAUGUCCUGUCUUGUCUCUUUAGAAUCUAGCGCCAUACCUGGAGGUGCUCAGUGAAUAUUUGAUAGACGAGUGAAUAAAUGAAUGAACUAUCAAACGAACACAUGGUCUCCAACAUAAAAUGCUUUAUAAUCUAGCUAUAAAGACAGAACAGAUACAUGCAAAUGACACAAGGUCACUAACGCUAAGAGCCAAAUGCCAAAUGAGUGGAACAAAUGACCAGAGCUAUGCAAUGAGAGGAGAGAGCUCACCCGGGCUGUGAAGACAGAGCAAACUAUCAUCCCCAACGAACAGCUGGAGAAACUAAUACAGGCGAGCUCAAUAUCUUUGAUUCCUUCGUCCUUGGACACAGGAGAGGCCGAAUGAAAGGCUAAUAACAACUGUAUGAGAGAAGGAAGUGUCACCUAAAAGGAUGAAACGAAAAGACGUAUCUCUGGUUUGGAGGCUCGUAGCCAAAAAUAGACAGAAUGUAAAUCAGAAGACUGCUUGCCUAAAUCUGGCAGAAAAAAGGAGCUCUCCCUGUUGAGCCAGACGCACCACUGUUGGGGCAACCACCUAGGAUGGGGAAGGAACAGAUGCCAGACUCACUAACUGAUGUUCCAUGACCCACAAGCAAAGCAUCCACCUGAGACAACCCUCCUGGUACUACCGUGGCCACUCUCUGGCUUAUCCAUGAGGACAGGAUCUGAUGGACACUGGUCCCAACAGUAAGGUACACACCUUGCUAUGCAUCAGAAUCAUCUCGGGAGAGCUUUUGAAAAUAACAGAGUACUAAGUUUUCACCCUGACCCUACUGAAUGAGGUCUCUGGGUUGGGGCCUAGGAAUCUACAUUUCGAACCAUACCCCCUCUCUCCACUGGCAGUGCAGGCCAUCCUUCACCUGAUGCUUGGAAACCACUGCACUAGACUAGAAAACACCACCCUGGUUAUUAGCCACACCUAGACACCGUCUUCCUGCCCUCACCAACCCACAGAUCCACCCAGGAGUGUGGGGCAACAUCUUCACAAAAGCAGAACCCAGUGACGUUUCCCAAGAGGGGCUGGCAUGCGGGAGGAGGAGAGGGUGGGAGGGAAGUAAAAAUCCUCCUUGUCAGGGCCCCAGGAGACAUUAUCAGUUAGCGAUUAAGAAAACCAGGAGUCUGCUCUGUCUUUGAGAUCUAGUAUGGCCAUUUGCUAGGUGGAUGUUUCAAGACAAAGUAUUUAUCUUCUCUAAGACUCCUUCUCCUCAUAGGUGAGUGUGGAGUUGUGGGGACUCCAUGAAAUGUCGUGCUUUAAAGCAGGAUAUAAAGUACUUUAAGUUGGUGAUCUUAGAGCUGGAUGAGACCAUAGAGCCUAUUUCUUCCAAAUCCCUCUUUUCACAGAAGAAAAAACUGAAGCCCAGAGAGAAGUGACUCACAGGAUGUCACAUGGUCAGUGGGUUAGUUGGUAACAAAGUACAUGCUGACAUACUCAGUCAUAGACUGUCAACAAGUAUGAGAAAACCCCAGCUCAGCAUGAGGCAAAUGUAAG